CAUCUUCUUCUAAAAGCUUUCUAAUCAUUGUCGUUGUAGUUUAAAGUAAUCUUAUUACUCUUAAGUAUCAUCGAUGAGUCAACCCUAUUCUUUCUCAUCUCGAGCUUCUCAGCCUUUCCAGUCAUGAUACUUAGAUUAAGUGUGUCACUUUCACAUAAUCAUC